rnacentral:rRNA from 1 species
CCUGAACGCUGGCGGCGUGGCUAAGACAUGCAAGUCGCACGGUGUAGCAAUACACAGUGGCGAACGGGUGAGUAAAGAAUCGCUAACGUACCCCGGACUCUGGGAUAGCUAUCCGAAAGGGUAGGUAAUACCAGAUGACAUAUUCCGCUCGCAUGAGUGGGAUCUCAAAGGUCCGCCGGUCUGGGAGCGGGCGAUUUCGUAUCAGCUAGUUGGUGAGGUAACGGCUCACCAAGGCGACGACGCGUAGCCGGACUGAGAGGUUGGCCGGCCACAUUGGGACUGAGACACUGCCCAGACUCCUACGGGGGGCUGCAGUAACGAAUCUUCCGCAAUGCACGAAAGUGUGACGGAGCGACGCCGCGUGUGGGAUGAAGUUCUUCGGAAUGUAAACCACUGUCAGGGGUUAGAAAGUUCUGAU